CCUACGGGUGGCAGCAGUGGGGAAUAUUGCACAAUGGGGGAAACCCUGAUGCAGCGACGCCGCGUGAAGGAAGACGUACCUCGGUAUGUUAACUUCUAUCAGCAGGGGAGUAAAUGACGGUACCUGACUAAGAAGCCCCGGCUAACUACGUGCCAGCAGCGGCGGUAAUACGUAGGGAGCAAGCGUUAUCCGGAUUUACUGGGUGUAAAGGGAGCGUAGGCGGCGUUGCAAGUCAGAAGUGAAAGCUCGGGGCUCAACUCCGGGACUGCUUUUGAAACUGGGUUGCUAGAUUGCAGGAGAGGUAAGUGGAAUUCGGAGUGUAGCGGUGAAAUGCGUAGAUAUGACGAGGAACCCCAGUGGCGAAGGCGGCUUACUGGACUGUAAAUGACGCUGAGGCUCGAAAGCGUGGGGAGCAAACAGGAUUAGAUACCCCAGUAGUC
rnacentral:rRNA from 1 species